CUUUCUCUCUCCUCCCGCCGCCCAAGAUGGUGAGUGAGUCCUAGUUUCGUGGCACUAUAGCCGGGUUCCGGCUGUAUCCGCUGCCAUCCUCCCCCAGGCACGGCCUCGGAGGACUUCCUGCUCCGCCUGGCGCUAGGAGAGCCCCACUCGGUGUGGCACGGAGACAUUGAGAUGGACUAGAGCCCCGGGCGGCCGGGAGCGGAAUGCAUUGUUCCCGGUGUCGCAGGGCUGGGGGAGAAGGGCCUGGAGCGCCGCGGUGCGGGGCUCGGAAGCCCUAGCGUCUCCCGGGCUUCCUGGGGGCCGCUGCCGAGGCCUUCCGAAAGGAAAGAAGGCCAAGGGAAAGAAGGUGGCUCCGGCCCCUGCUGUCGUGAAGAAGCAGGAGGCUAAGAAAGUGGUGAAUCCCCUGUUUGAGAAAAGGCCUAAGAAUUUUGGCAUUGGACAGGACAUCCAGCCCAAAAGAGACCUCACCCGCUUUGUGAAAUGGCCCCGCUAUAUCAGGUUGCAGCGGCAGAGAGCCAUCCUCUAUAAGCGGCUGAAAGUGCCUCCUGCGAUUAACCAGUUCACCCAGGCCCUGGACCGCCAAACAGCUACUCAGCUGCUUAAGCUGGCCCACAAGUACAGACCAGAGACAAAGCAAGAGAAGAAGCAGAGACUGUUGGCCCGGGCCGAGAAGAAAGCUGCUGGCAAAGGGGACGUCCCCACGAAGAGACCACCUGUCCUUCGAGCAGGAGUUAACACCGUCACCACCUUGGUGGAGAACAAGAAAGCUCAGCUGGUGGUGAUUGCACACGACGUGGAUCCCAUCGAGCUGGUUGUCUUCUUGCCUGCCCUGUGUCGUAAAAUGGGGGUCCCUUACUGCAUUAUCAAGGGGAAGGCAAGACUGGGACGUCUAGUCCACAGGAAGACU
rnacentral:sRNA from 1 species